CAUUAAAAUCAACAAAUGGAAAAAAGAAAUCUAUAUAUCAUCGAUCUUAUUCUCUGACCCUGUACAGAAAGACCGAAAAAGAAAAAAGGGGAAAAAAACCCCCAAAAAUUCGAACUCGGUGAGUCGAGUACAGAUCAGCGCUCAGAAUUGAAGCUGUAGCCAGGACUAGCAGCAGGAGUUUCGGACCCCGAGCUAAGCCUGCUUCCGUCCCCUGUUUUCUUCUUCCCAAUCGAAACGAUUGUGGAAACUAUUCCUUUGAUUAUCUUCCUUUUGAUCUCGCCUCGCCUCGGCGGCAGGUUGUAAUUUCCAUUGUUGGAAACCUCAAUAGAACCCGCGAAUUCCAUUACUCUGAAGCGAUUAUGGAGGAUUUCGAAGUUAGGACAAGAGAGAAGCGAAGUAACAGAGGAAUCUAGCAGAGAAUACGGAGUUCGGGAAGGCUGUGAGGAGAGAAAUUUGCGGUUUCUGAGAGAAAUUGGAGAAGGAUUUUGUAGAGAGUGUUUGGUAGAGAAAGAAAGUGAAUGAGGAUCGAUGGAGGUUGAAGAGGAAUAUAAAGAGUCCAGAGCGUGAGUAUACAAGCGAAGUGAUUUGAGUUUCUUGGUGAGCAAGAUUGUGUGGGAACUGUAGAGAACCAGAAGGCAGAAUCAGGUGGUGUUAGGACCAUGGGAGAUGCAGUGAGAUUCUGUUGAGAAUAAGCCUUUUCAAACAAAUGAAGGACAAAAUGGUAAUUUAAUGUUCAAAGGGAAUCUAAUUCGGGGCUUUCGACUCUGCUUUUUAGAAUUGGUCUGGUGACCAAACUGGCUUGCCUAACCGCUCACUGUUUGCAGUAGGUUUUGUCUCCUUCU
rnacentral:lncRNA from 1 species